AACGAACGCUGGCGGCAUGCCUAACACAUGCAAGUCGAACGAGACCUUCGGGUCUAGUGGCGCACGGGUGCGUAACGCGUGGGAACCUGCCCUUAGGUUCGGAAUAACUCCCCGAAAGGGGUGCUAAUACCGGAUAAUGUCUUCGGACCAAAGAUUUAUCGCCUUUGGAUGGGCCCGCGUUGGAUUAGCUAGUUGGUAGGGUAAAAGCCUGCCAAGGCGACGAUCCAUAGCUGGUCUGAGAGGAGGAUCAGCCACACUGGGACUGAGACACGGCCCAGACUCCUACGGAAGGCAGCAGUGGGGAAUAUUGGACAAUGGGCGAAAGCCUGAUCCAGCAAUGCCGCGUGAGUGAUGAAGGCCUUAGGGCUGUAAAGCUCUUUUACCCGGGAUGAUAAUGACAGUACCGGGAGAAUAAGCUCCGGCUAACUCCGUG
rnacentral:rRNA from 1 species